AAUAAGUGCAAUUUUGCACUGUUCACCUCCAACGUUUGACCAUUCGUUUUAUUUGAAAUUUUUUUAUGAUUACUAUUUUUAUUGUUAUUAGAUGAUAAAACAUGAAUAGUACUUUAUGUGUGACUAACUUUUUUAAAAUUUUUCAUAAAUUUUUUAAAUAAGACGGACGGUCAAACGUUGGACACAGAUUUCCAUGGCUACACUUAUU
rfam:Oryza sativa Japonica Group DNA, chromosome 3, cultivar: Nipponbare, complete sequence.